rnacentral:rRNA from 1 species
UGCCUUAGUACGGCGAGUGAGCGGCAACAGCUCAAAUUUGAAAUCUGGCCCUCGGGUCCGAGUUGUAAUUUGUAGAGGAUGCUUUUGGCAACGUGCUUUCCGAGUCCCCUGGAACGGGGCGCCAUAGAGGGUGAGAGCCCCGUCUGGUUACGCACCUAGCCUCUGUAAAGCUCCUUCGACGAGUCGAGUAGUUUGGGAAUGCUGCUCUAAAUGGGAGGUGUAUGUCUUCUAAAGCUAAAUACCGGCCAGAGACCGAUAGCGCACAAGUAGAGUGAUCGAAAGAUGAAAAGUACUCUGAAGAGAGAGUUAAAUAGCACGUGAAAUUGUUAAAGGGGAAGCGUUUAUGACCAGACUUGGGGCAGGUCGAUCAUCUGGCGUUCUCGCCAGUGCACUCGGCCGGCUCUAGGCCAGCAUCAGUUUGCGCCGGGGGAUAAAGGCUUCGGGAACGUAUCUCCCCCCGGGGAGUGUUAUAGACCGUUGCGUAAUACCCUGGUGCGGACUGAGGAACGCGCUUUAUGCACGGAUGCUGGCGUAAUGGUCACCAACGACCCGUCUUGAAAC